AUGGCAACCUCCUGGAGUGAUCGGUUACAGAAUGCCGCAGAUCUGCCCGCCAAUAUGGAUAAGCAUGGCCUGAAAAAGUAUCGUGGAGAAGCCUACCAUCCGGUGUUUGUGAACCGAAGUUUAGCAGUGGGAAAAAAUCAAGUGUUCUGGUUUUGAUGUGGAUUACACUUUGGCUGUGCACAAGUCCCCAGAGUCCGAGUCCCUGGGCUUUGAGCUUACGGUGGAGAGACUGGUUUCUGUUGGCUAUCCUCAGGAGCUGCUCAGCUUGGCCUACGACUCCACCUUCCCUACCAGGGGACUUGUCUUUGACACGCUGUGUGGGAAUCUUUUGAAAGUCGGUGCCUAUGGAAACCUCCUGGUCUGUGCACAUGGAUUUAACUUCCUAAGGGGACCAGAAGCUAGAGAGCAGUAUCCAAAUAAAUGUAUCCAACAAGAUGACAUGGAAAGGUUUUACAUUAUGAACACACUGUUCAACCUGCCGGAGACCUACCUGUUGGCCUGCCUCGUAGACUUUUUUACUAAAUGUCCCAGACACACCAGUUGUGAUACAGGAUUCAGAGAUGGAGGCCUCUUCGUGUCCUCCCGGAGCAUGUUCCAGGACGUGAGAGAUGCCGUCGACUGGGUUCACUACCAGGGCUCUCUUAAGGAAAGGACAGUGGGAAAUCUUGAGAAGUAUGUCGUCAAAGAUGGAAAGCUGCCUCUGCUUCUGAGCCGGCCGAAGGAAGUGGGGAAAGUAUUUCUUGCCACCAACAGUGACUACAAAUACACAGACAAAAUUAUGACUUACCUGUUUGAUUUCCCACAUUGCCCCAAGCCCGGGAGCUCCCAUGGGCCAUGGCAGUCCUACUCUGACUUGAUCUUGGUGGAUGCACAUAAACCACGCUUUUUCGGAGAAGGCACAGUCCUGCGCCAGGUGGACACGAAAACCGCAGCAUGGCAUCGUCUACUCGGGAGGCUCUUCUGAUACAAUCUGUGAUCUGUUGGGCGCCAAGGGCAAAGCCAUUUUGUACCUCGGGGAUCACAUGGGGGGGGGACAUUUUAAAAUCCACGAAGCGGCCGGGCUGGCGGACGUGCCUGGUGAUUCCAGAGCCUGCGCGGGAGCUGCACGUCUGGACCGACAAGAGCUCACUUUUCGAAGCGCUCCAGAGCUUGGAUGUUGUCUUGGCUGAGCUCCACGAGCACUGGACGGCCGUCGCAACGAGCGCCCCGACGGCAGCUCCGGCCAGAGGCGGAUUAAGAAAAUGCCGGGCUCGGGACACGUGCUCGGGGAGGAGGGGCAGCCGCCUCCGCAGCGCCCCCGGCGGACACUCUCGGCCAGUCGGGCGACGCGCCGGGCGGCCGCGGGACCCGUUCCGCUCCCUCCCCCGAGCCGCCCGCGCCCCGAGGCCUCACGAGCCCACGCUGGAGCGCGCACACGCAACCUCAGCGGGAUCGAGUCUCCCCUCGCCACCCGGAGCCCCCGUCCGUGGACGGCCCAGACCCGACCGCGCGCGGCACCAGCUGACCCGGGCGGUCGGGGAGAUGAAAGCCCCCAACCUCCUUCCGCGGGCCCCCCAGGAGCCACCCCCUGCCACGACGAGGAUGACGACGAGGCGGAGGAGGGAUGA